rnacentral:rRNA from 1 species
GACAUACUAAGAACUUUCCAGAGAUGGAUUGGUGCCUUCGGGAACUUAGAUACAGGUGCUGCAUGGCUGUCGUCAGCUCGUGUCGUGAGAUGUUGGGUUAAGUCCCGCAACGAGCGCAACCCUUUUCCUUAUUUGCCAGCGGGUUAAGCCGGGAACUUUAAGGAUACUGCCAGUGACAAACUGGAGGAAGGCGGGGACGACGUCAAGUCAUCAUGGCCCUUACGGCCAGGGCUACACACGUGCUACAAUGGUCGGUACAAAGGGUUGCUACCUCGCGAGAGGAUGCUAAUCUCAAAAAGCCGAUCGUAGUCCGGAUCGCAGUCUGCAACUCGACUGCGUGAAGUCGGAAUCGCUAGUAAUCGCGGAUCAGAAUGCCGCGGUGAAUACGGUUCCCGGGCCUUGUACACACCGCCCGUCACACCAUGGGAGUUUGUUGCACCAGAAGUAGGUAGUCUAACCGCAAGGAGGACGCUUACCACGGUGUGGCCGAUGACUGGGGUGAAGUCGUAACAAGGUAGGCGUAGAUGA